rnacentral:lncRNA from 1 species
UGAGCGCUUGUUACUGCACAAAGUGGGGGUUUCUUGCCUGAUGAGCAUAAGGAGCCAAUUAUGACGGCAUCAGCCUUUGAGAAAAGAAAACAGCUUUAUUGUGAGAUCCAUCAGUAAGGAGACAGGAGGCAUUUGCUCUCAGAUCCAGGGCUUGGAUCCAGGGCUUGGGCACAAUUUAUGGGAUGACAGGCAGGGCGGUCUGAAGCAUGGAGAUGGAUGAUUGGAGACCUCUUCCAGUCAUAAGGGAGUAACAGGGGCAGACCUACCUGGAAAACUGGACAAGACAUAUGCUACAACAGUUUUUAGACAGUAGACAACAGGCAGCACACGAUCGUGAUCCUUGAGAGAAGGGAGGCAAUUGAGUGAGUUACUUGGGAGAUUGAAGAAACAAGAAAAACAUUUAUUUUAAAGCUGAGCGUCACAGGUCGGGCUCCCUGCUUGGAAACUGAAUGAGGCCAGAAUUUCUAGAUAUUUUGUAGUGGAGUGGCGUGCAAGUUGCCUUGUCUAUCAUCUUGCUGAAAAUCCAGGAUUUAUUUUCUACUUAGCAAUAUGUUGUGAACAAUUCCCCAUGGUGUCCCUCUAUUUCUUGUUUGCUUGCAUUGAAGGAAACCGGUUGCCAUGCUAUGAGCUGCCCGAUGGAAAGGCCCACAUGGAAGGAACUGAAGUCUUCUGGCUCAAAGUCACUGAGGAACUGAGGCCCUCAGUGCAAAGGCCCUCAAGGUAUUGAGUUCUGCCAACAGUCAUACGAGUAAGACUGGAAGUGGAUCUUCCCCCAGUCAGGCCAUCAGGUGAGACCACAUUCCUGGCUGACACUCUGACUGCAGCCAUGAGACACGUGGAGCCAGAGGCACCUGGCCAAGCUGCAGCUGGAUUCCUGACCCACAGAAGACCCACACAAUAAAUGUUUCUUGUUUUAAGUA